UACGGGGGGAGGCAAGCGUUUGUUCGGAUUUACGUGGGCGUAAAGGGCGCGUAGGCGGUCGUGACAAGUCACUUGUGAAAUCUCCGGGCUUAACUCGGAACGGUCAAGUGAUACUGUCGGACUAGAGUACAAGAAGGGGGCAACUGGAAUUCUCGGUGUAGCGGUAGAAAUGCGUAGAUAUCGAGAGGAACACCUGCGGCGAAGGCGGGGUUGCUGGGGCGUGAUACUGACGU
rnacentral:rRNA from 1 species